rnacentral:rRNA from 1 species
UUGGAGGGCAAGUCUGGUGCCAGCAGCCGCGGUAAUUCCAGCUCCAAUAGCGUAUAUUAAAGUUGUUGCAGUUAAAAAGCUCGUAGUUGAAUUUUGGGGUUCUUCCGUUGGUCAGACUAACAAGUCUGUACUAGCGUGUAGAAUCUCUACCUUCUGGGGAACCAUCAUAUUAUUAAUUUAGCAUGGUGGGAAACCAGGACCUUUACCUUGAAAAAAUUAGAGUGUUCAAAGCAGGCUUACGUCUGAAUACAUUAGCAUGGAAUAAUAAAAUAGGACGGUGGUCCUGUUUUGUUGGUUUCUGAAUCACCGUAAUGAUUAAUAGGGAUAGUUGGGGGCAUUAGUAUUCAAUUGUCAGAGGUGAAAUUCUUGGAUUUAUUGAAGACUAACUUCUGCGAAAGCAUUUGCCAAGGAUGUUUUCAUUAAUCAAGAACGAAAGUUAGGGGAUCGAAGACGAUCAGAUACCGUCGUAGUCUUAGCCAUAAACUAUGCCGACUAGGGAUCGGACGAUGUUAAAUUUUAUUGACUCGUUCGGCGCCUUACGGGAAAC